ensembl:snRNA U2 U2 spliceosomal RNA
AUCACUUCUCAGCCUUUUGGAUAAUAUCAAGUUUAGUAUCUGUUCUUACCAGUUUAAUAUCUGAUAGUCCCCCUAUUAAAAAUCCGUUGUGAUGAUUUAGGAAUAUGUAAAUGAUUUCCU